rnacentral:lncRNA from 1 species
UGCAAGCCCAUUUCUUAGCUGGAUGGGUGAAGUGUUCCCUCAGUUCACAUAGACCAGGCUUCCUCUUUAGAGGCAUAAGCUGUAAAACAGGAGAGUCUGUUUUAAGAGGAUCUGUUUGAAGUUUAAUGUAACUGAAGUCCAUGCACCUGAAGCCAUUAAUUGAUAUAAGUGAAGUAAGUCUUUGGGUUUCCGGUAGCUCUGACUCAGAUUCUGCUUGCCUCUUCUCCAUGAGAUUACCAAGGCAUCAGGGCAGAGACUCCCUGAGGCUAUGCUAGAAGGGUACCAUUUGAAAAGGAAGUGUAUGACCCACCGUGAAAUGGAACUGGUAGCUGGUCACCCAGGUGCUCUUCCUUGUUAACUGAUGAGAGCGAUUAUUAUGUGAGAACUUUAACAACCUGCCAAAGGAUCCCGGGGCAAGAAUGAGAGCUGAACCAUUGAAAAGCUGAGCAUCGAAGUGCCUGGGAAGCCCAAAACUCAGCACAUUCAUGCUUUUGCUGGUUUUUGACCAUUGAGAAGAAAAAAGAGUCAGCAACCAGGGAGCAGGAUGAGUGGAUCUGGUUCAGAACAUCUGUGAACACAGAGGGAGUGGAAACUUCACUUUCAACAUCAUCAGCCAACUUCCCUCCCAUUACAAUUCUAUCUCAAGAUCAAGGUCAUGCAACAAAACCAGCAGAGCCGUUAUGCUACUUCUGUUGGAAGGAUUGGCUAUUUUAGUCAACGUGAGC